rnacentral:rRNA from 1 species
AUUGAACGCUGGCGGCAUGCCUAACACAUGCAAGUCGAACGGAGGUAGGGGCAACUCUACUUCAGUGGCGGACGGGUGAGGAAUGCGUCGGAAUCUACCCUAUGGUGGGGGAUAACACAGGGAACCUUGUGCUAAUACCGCAUGAUGUCGAGAGACCAAAGCAGGGGACCGCAAGGCCUUGCGCGAUAGGAUGAGCCGACGCCCGAUUAGCUAGUUGGUAGGGUAAAGGCCUACCAAGGCGACGAUCGGUAGCUGGUCUGAGAGGAUGAUCAGCCACACUGGGACUGAGACACGGCCCAGACUCCUACGGGAGGCAGCAGUGGGGAAUAUUGGACAAUGGGCGCAAGCCUGAUCCAGCAAUGCCGCGUGUGUGAAGAAGGCCUGCGGGUUGUAAAGCACUUUUGUUCGGGAAGAAAUCAUGCUGGUUAAUACCUGGUAUGGAU